rnacentral:rRNA from 1 species
GCCAGACUCCUACGGGAGGCAGCAGUGGGGGAUAUUGCACAAUGGGGGAAACCCUGAUGCAGCGACGCCGCGUGUGGGAAGACGGUCCUCUGGAUUGUAAACCACUGUCCCCAGGGACGAAGAUGACGGUACCUGGGGAGGAAGCUCCGGCUAACUACGUGCCAGCAGCCGCGGUAAUACGUAGGGAGCGAGCGUUGUCCGGAAUUACUGGGUGUAAAGGGCGUGUAGCCGGGAAGGCAAGUCAGAUGUGAAAUCCGGAGGCUCAACCUCCGAAUUGCAUUUGAAACUGUUUUUCUUGAGUACUGGAGAGGCAGACGGAAUUCCUUGUGUAGCGGUGAAAUGCGUAGAUAUUAGGAGGAACACCAGUGGCGAAGGCGGCCUGCUGGACGACAACUGACGGUGGGGCGCGAAAGCGUGGGGAGCAAACAGGAUUAGAUACCCCUGUAA